GGUGAACGCUGGCGGCGUGCCUAAGACACGCAAGUCGAACGGCAGUCUUCGGACUGUAGUGGCGCACGGGUGAGCAACGCGUAACUGACCUACCCCAAAGUCGCGGAUAACGAUUCGAAAGAAUCGCUAAUACGUGAUGUGCUGUCAGAUUGUGUUCUGCCAGUAAAGAUUGAUUGCUUUGGGAUGGGGUUGCGUUCCAUCAGCUAGUUGGUGGGGUAAAGGCCCACCAAGGCGACGACGGAUAGCCGGCCUGAGAGGGUGGCCGGCCACAGGGGCACUGAGACACGGGUCCCACUCCUACGGUAGGCAGCAGUUAGGAAUCUUCCACAAUGGGCGAAAGCCUGAUGGAGCGACGCCGCGUGAGGGAUGAAGGUCUUCGGAUCGUAAACCUCUGAAUCAGGGACGAAAGACACUUCGGUGGGAUGACGGUACCUGAGUAAUAGCACCGGCUAACUCCGUGCCAGCCGCCGCGGUAA
rnacentral:rRNA from 1 species